GGGAAUCUUCCGCAAUGGGCGAAAGCCUGACGGAGCAACGCCGCGUGAGGGAUGAAGGCCUCUGGGCUGUAAACCUCUUUUUUCAAGGAAGAAGAUCUGACGGUACUUGAAGAAUAAGCCACGGCUAAUUCCGUGCCAGCAGCCGCGGUAAUACGGGAGUGGCAAGCGUUAUCCGGAAUUAUUGGGCGUAAAGCGUCCGCAGGCGGCCUUGAAAGUCUGUCGUUAAAGCGUGGAGCUUAACUCCAUUUAAGCGAUGGAAACUACAAGGCUAGAGUGUGGUAGGGGCAGAGGGAAUUCCCGGUGUAGCGGUGAAAUGCGUAGAUAUCGGGAAGAACACCAGUGGCGAAGGCGCUCUGCUGGGCCAUAACUGACGCUCAUGGACGAAAGCCAGGGGAGCGAAAGGGAUUAGAUACCCCUGUAGUC
rnacentral:rRNA from 1 species